rnacentral:rRNA from 1 species
CCCCUAGUAACUGCGAGUGAAGCGGGAAAAGCUCAAAUUUAAAAUCUGGCGGUCUUUGGCCGUCCGAGUUGUAAUCUAGAGAAGUGUUAUCCGCGCUGGACCGUGUACAAGUCUCCUGGAAUGGAGCGUCAUAGAGGGUGAGAAUCCCGUCUUUGACACGGACUGCCAGGGCUUUGUGAUGCGCUCUCAAAGAGUCGAGUUGUUUGGGAAUGCAGCUCAAAAUGGGUGGUAAAUUCCAUCUAAAGCUAAAUAUUGGCGAGAGACCGAUAGCGAACAAGUACCGUGAGGGAAAGAUGAAAAGAACUUUGGAAAGAGAGUUAAACAGUACGUGAAAUUGCUGAAAGGGAAACGCUUGAAGUCAGUCGCGUUGUCCAGGGAUCAACCUUGCUUUUGCUUGGUGCACUUUCUGGUUGACGGGUCAGCAUCAAUUUUGACCAUUGGAAAAAGAUUAGGGGAAUGUGGCAUCCUUGGAUGUGUUAUAGCCCUUGGUUGCAUACAAUGGUUGGGAUUGAGGAACUCAGCACGCCGCAAGGCCGGGUUUUAACCACGUACGUGCUUAGGAUGCUGGCAUAAUGGCUUUAAUCGACCCGUCUUGAAACACGGACCAAGGAGUCUAACAUACCUGCGAGUGUUUGGGUGGAAAACUCGAACGCGUAAUGAAAGUGAAAGUUGAGAUCCCUGUCGUGGGGAGCAUCGACGCCCAGACCAGACCUUUUGUGACGGUUCUGCGGUAGAGCAUGUAUGUUGGGACCCGAAAGAUGGUGAACUAUGCCUGAAUAGGGUGAAGCCAGAGGAAACUCUGGUGGAGGCUCGUAGCGAUUCUGACGUGCA